rnacentral:misc_RNA from 1 species
CUCUUCCACUCCUUGGGUCUUUCCCGAUUCGUCCCUUCACGCGGCGUAGUCCACGAUGACCUCUUGGGUUCAAUGGGCUCUGGCCUCGCUGGCCUCAUCGUCCUUGCCGAGCAGCUUAAUCUCAACCGCGUUUUCUCUUACAGGUACUGUUGUGGUAGAGGCGAUGGUACCAAUAAGGGAGAAUCGGAUUGUGUGGUGUGCUUGUGCACCCUAAGAGAUGGGGACCAGGUCAGGAAGCU